CCUAAAUUUUAGCUCACCAUUUGAAGGAAAUGAAUGCUAGCAUAAAAAAAAACACACUUGUUAGCUAGGACACUCAUAUGCUAAUGUAGCACUGUAAAAAUGACUAAAAAAUACCGCUCUACCUUCUCAGUUCUAUCUUUAUAAAGGCAGAAAUCUUGGAUAAAUUCUUGGCUAAAACUUGUGUUGGCUGGUGAAAGCUGUGGGCUGCUGCGGCGUAUAAUCAGGCCCGUUGAGGCCCGUGGACUUGCUUGUAGCAGGUAGCGGCUCAGUGAAGCCUCAUGGAGCUCGCUCGGCCCGCUGGAUGCUGCAAGUGGCAUCCAUCAGCGAGGAGCCUCUCUGACGCACGACCCCGUGACCUCGUCUCACCAUCGCACGUCACUUUGAAGGAAGACAACCGCUGAGGUGUUUGGUGUGUAGUGCAGUGCAGGGAGUUGAGGAUUUGGAAAUUGAUGGAGCGGGAGUGCAGACCCUGCACUGAAAGGCCAUCAAUCAAACCACCGUCACCACCAUCACCCCCUUCCCCACCCACCACCACCACCUCUCUGGACGCCUGCAGCUACUUUCACAUGCAACUGACGACAAUAAAGAGGUAAAAAGUUUACACAACUCUUCACUCAUCAUAUCAAAACUUAAAGCAGGCAAAUGCAACAAAACGAAAAGCACACAGAAGUACUAUGAAGUUCACCAUGACCCCCGA